AUUGAACGCUGGCGGCAGGCCUAACACAUGCAAGUCGAACGAGUGGCGGACGGGUGAGUAAUGUCUGGGAAACUGCCUGAUGGAGGGGGAUAACUACUGGAAACGGUAGCUAAUACCGCAUACCAUCGGAUGUGCCCAGAUGGGAUUAGCUAGUAGGUGGGGUAAAGGCGCACCUAGGCGACGAUCCCUAGCUGGUCUUAGAGGAUGACCAGCCACACGGGAACGGAGACACGGUCAAGACUCCGACGGGAGGAAGCAGGGGGGAAUAUUGCACAAUGGGCGAAAGCCUGAUGCAGCCAGGCCGCGUUGAUGAAGAAGGCCUUCGGGUUGUAAAGGACUUGCAGCGGGGAGGCGGUACCCGCAGAAGAAGCACCGGCUAACUCCGUGCCAGCAGCCGCGGUAAUUC
rnacentral:rRNA from 1 species